rnacentral:lncRNA from 1 species
AUCAUGUCUUGAUGAAAGAAGAAGAAGAAAAGAAGGUCAUCUCUUAAGGUUUCUUUUAGAACCCUUAUUCUCUAUCAAUCAUGAGAUUUUUCUAUGAGAAAAAUCAGAUAACAUAAGAUCUGAAAGUUUGAAAAAUAUCUAGAGGAGAAGGUCUCUUCAUGUCCAAGCAUAGAGAUGUUCUCAGGACAUCAAUCGUUUAUGUCCUGAAAGAGAAGAUCUGUCUUCCC